CGCGGAGUGGAGCAGUUGGCAGCNUCGGGCUCAUAACCCGAAGGUCGUAGGUUCAAGUCCUGCCUCCGCAACCA
rnacentral:tRNA from 1 species